UGGGGAAUAUUGCACAAUGGGCGCAAGCCUGAUGCAGCCAUGCCGCGUGAACGAUGAAGGCCUUAGGGUUGUAAAAUUCUUUCGCCAGGGAUGAUAAUGACAGUACCUGGUAAAGAAGCCCCGGCUAACUUCGUGCCAGCAGCCGCGGUAAUACGAAGGGGGCGAGCGUUGUUCGGAAUUACUGGGCGUAAAGGGCGCGUAGGCGGUCUUUUAAGUUAGGCGUGAAAUCCCCGGGCUCAACCUGGGAACUGCGCUUAAGACUGGAAGACUAGAAAACGGAAGAGGGUAGUGGAAUUCCCAGUGUAGAGGUGAAAUUCGUAGAUAUUCGGAGGAACACCAGUGGCGAAGGCGGCUCACUGGCUCGAUACUGACGCUGAGGUGCGAAAGUGUGGGGAGCAAACAGG
rnacentral:rRNA from 1 species